AGUGAACGCUGGCGGUAGGCCUAACACAUGCAAGUCGAACGGCAGCACAGUAAGAGCUUGCUCUUACGGGUGGCGAGUGGCGGACGGGUGAGGAAUACAUCGGAAUCUACUUUUUCGUGGGGGAUAACGUAGGGAAACUUACGCUAAUACCGCAUACGACCUACGGGUGAAAGCAGGGGAUCUUCGGACCUUGCGCGAUUGAAUGAGCCGAUGUCGGAUUAGCUAGUUGGCGGGGUAAAGGCCCACCAAGGCGACGAUCCGUAGCUGGUCUGAGAGGAUGAUCAGCCACACUGGAACUGAGACACGGUCCAGACUCCUACGGGAGGCAGCAGUGGGGAAUAUUGGGCAAUGGGCGAAAGCCUGAUCCAGCCAUACCGCGUGGGUGAAGAAGGUCUUCGGGUUGUAAAGCCCUUUUGUUGGGAAAGAACAGCAGCAGGUUAAUACCCCGCUGUUCUGACGGUACCCAAAGAAUAAGCACCGGCUAACUUCGUG
rnacentral:rRNA from 1 species